CGUCUCCGUCCGGCGGAGUCCGGCACUGACACUGCAGGAUCGGGAGGCGCCGCAGAUUGCCGAUGGUACCCGAGAGCAGCGCCAUCUGUCUGUGCUCAACUGGGAAAGAUAACACUACUGAGGUGGUCAUGAAGCAAUGAAAUCACCAAAAAUCAUGCCAUUCCAAGAAUUCGAAGAUGCUGCUUCUUGAUGCUGUGUGUUCAGCCAAAAACCGAGGAUGCAGAAGAUUAAGUUGUAGCAUUGCAGCAAAGGGGCUGUAUGAAUAUCAAAUAUGCAUGUGUGAGUGUGUUUCAUUUUUCUUUUACAUGCACAGAGAUAAUGGAAUAAUGAAUGCAAUGCAUCAAAAUGGCGGCAGUGUUGUACAGUGGCUAGGGAACACGGCUGAUUGCAUGAAGGUUGCAGGUUCAAUUCCCAGGACAGACACUGCUAUUGCAGCCUUGAGCAAGGUACUGAACAGCUUCAGUAUAUAUCCAGCUGUAUAAAUGGAUACCAUGUGGAAAACCUUGUGCAACAAUUUGCGCAAGUCCAUUAGGAUAAAAGCGUCUACUAAAUGCCUGUAAUGUAUAGGUUAUGAAAUAAUCAGUAUUCUGCAUGCAUAAAUGGAAAUAUUAAAGAAAGAUCAUAUUUUUCACAAAUAAAAGACUGUUUUUCAAAACAGGAUGACCAAAUAUAACCACACAUUAUAACACCUUUUUAACUGCUGGAAUAUAGUUGCCACAUUUGGAUGUCAUGUGGUAUGACUUCAAAAAAAACUAUGAAUAUUAAGUUUUAUCUGCAAAUAUAAAUUUUGAUUAGAAAUUUGAUAGUGAACUUUGGUGGGAAGAAUGCCUGUUUUUUAGGUGACCAAUUCUGUGCCUGUAAAAUUUGACUGAACUUGAAAACAUCAUGUGGUGAGACCAAGUAUCAUGUGGUGCAACUAUUGCAGAACGUUGUACAUGAUAGAUAUAUGUCCUGCAUUGGCAGUUUCUGUGCAUUUAUAUUUAAUUCAUGAUUUAUAUACAUACAGUUCUUUAUUUUAGUAUAAGUUUUAGUAUAA